rnacentral:rRNA from 1 species
CAGCCGCCACGGGAAUACGUAGGUGGCAAGCGUUGUCCGGAAUUAUUGGGCGUAAAGGGCUCGCAGGCGGUUUCUUAAGUCUGAUGUGAAAGCCCCCGGCUCAACCGGGGAGGGUCAUUGGAAACUGGGAAACUUGAGUGCAGAAGAGGAGAGUGGAAUUCCACGUGUAGCGGUGAAAUGCGUAGAGAUGUGGAGGAACACCAGUGGCGAAGGCGACUCUCUGGUCCGUAACUGACGCUGAGGAGCGAAAGCGUGGGGAGCGAACAGGAUUAGAUACCCGCGUAGUCCCUGUCUCUUAUAC